rnacentral:rRNA from 1 species
CAGUAACACGUAGUCAACCUAACCUGUGGACGUGGAUAAUCUCGGGAAACUGAGGAUAAACCACGAUAGAUAACGGUGCCUGGAAUGGCCCAUUGUCCAAACAGUUUACUGCCACGGGAUGGGACUGCGGCCUAUCAGCUUGUUGGUGAGGUAGAUGGCCCACCAAGGCUAUAACAGGUACGGGCUCUGAGAGGAGAAGCCCGGAGAUGGGUACUGAGACACGGACCCAGGCCCUAUGGGGCGCAGCAGGCGAGAAACCUUAGCAAUGUGCGAAAGCACGACUGGGUCAGUCCGAGUGAUUUCUGAUAAAGGAAUCUUUUGCUAGUCCUAAAAGCACUAGCGAAUAAGGGGUGGGCAAGUCUGGUGCCA